CGUGAGAUGUUGGGUUAAGUCCCGCAACGAGCGCAACCCUUGUCCCUAGUUGCCAGCAUUAAGUUGGGCACUCCAGGGAGACCGCCGGUGACAAACCGGAGGAAGGUGGGGAUGACGUCAAGUCAUCAUGGCCUUUAUGGCCAGGGCUACACACGUGCUACAAUGGUGGAUACAGAGGGAAGCCAACCGGCGACGGGGAGCCAAUCCCAGAAAAUCCAUCGUAGUCCGGAUUGGAGUCUGCAACUCGACUCCA
rnacentral:rRNA from 1 species